AUGGGGCGCCGCAGCCUAAUCAUCACCGACUCCGACGAGGAAGAUGCCGCGGCCACUCCUGCCUCCGCCUCCGCCUCCGUUUCUACUGGCGGCGGCGGAAUCGUCGGCCGCCCCUCGUCUCAAAACCCCAGCCCCUUCCUAGCCCCCUACACAUUACCGUCCUCGCCUCCCCCCUCCCCUCCCGUCGAGAUCUCCGAUGACGAGGAGGAGGUCGAUGAGAUCCAGGACCCCGACGAGGACCCCGACUUCGGCGACGCACCCGACGAGAUGCGGGACUCUGACGGGGACUCCCUGUUCACCGACGUCGCCGAUGACCUCUCCCCACCACCUCCCGCUCCACCUCAAUAUCCUCCGCCCCAAACUUCAUGUCCACCUCCCGCUCCUGCUCCCGCGGUUCCUUUGUUCCGAACCCCAACACCAACCCCGCCUCCCGCAUCCACUCCUCCGUCCGGAACACGAACCCCAGUUCCACCGCCGGCCGCCGCACCUGCUCCGGCCCGAACCCGGACCCCAAUCCCAUCGCCGGCUGCCGCACCCACUACUGCCCGUACCCCAACCCCAACUCCACCGCCCGUUGCCGCACCCACUCCUAUGUCCCGAACCCCAACCCCAACUCCACCGCCGGCUGCCGCAUCAGCUCCUCCUUCCCGAACCCCAACGCCAACCCCACCACCUGCUGCCGCGUCUGCUCCUCGGCCUCGAACCCCAGCUCCAACCCCUCCCUCUGCCUGGACCCCAACUGCGACCCCGCUCACGUCCUCGACCCCACCGUCCGCACUGAGCGCGCAGCUGCGUCCGGUGGAUGCGUUCCUGCGGCGACUCGGGCUUCGUGUACGGCCAGAGUGGCUUCAACAGUGUGCUGCCGGGUUGCCUGGGUUCAACGGCCAUGGCGGCACUGAAGUGCAGGCUAGACAGUGUUUUGAGCAGCUCCUCUUUGCCGACAUGAACGAAUGUGGCGCUGGUGUGCUUCCGGAGGGCGUCGGGUCUAUGGAGGCCACCAUCCUCGAUGGACCAUUUGUGCUACAGCAUAGUUAUGCAAUGUAUAGCAUGGUUUUGCUCUGGUGGAUACUUCAGGUUGAUGAAAUCGUCAAUAUGUCUGCCCCUUUAAGGGAAAGAUAUCGUGAUGCACAUGCCGGCCCCAAACGAUGUUUAAAGUUAUCAAUGACAGAUGGCAUCCAACGCAUAUAUGGAAUGGAAUACAGGCCUAUCAAAGACCUGGAAGUUCUUGCUCCUGCUGGUUUUAAGAUUGUUAUAAGGAAUGUGCACAUAAAGAGAGGGCUUCUUAUGUUAGUCCCUGAGGUUAUUGAGAUUCUUGGUGGGGUAGUUGAUGAAUUGGAAGUAGCACGUGUCAGACUUGUUUCUGAAGUAAAUAAACCACCUCGUGGAAAAAGGAAACAAGGUGGAUUACCUUUGUCCUCCAGAGCCACCCUAGCUGCCUGGCCACGUAAUGUAAGCGCUGCAAAUGGUGGUGAGCAAGGCAUCUCAAUGCCAAGAACAGUAAACCCCUCUCAUCCAACAGGAUUAGGUAAUGGCUCUCAAGUUGGUAGAACUACACAAACAAUGGAAGAAGAUCGUGUUAACCAUCCUGUUGUGGUAAAUGGUGUCCGAGCACAACGUCAACAUUUUCAAGAAAACCCUAUGCAGGACCGAUCUACUUCUCUUAUUGGGAACAACGCAGAGGCUUCUGCACCUGUUACCUAUAGACAUGAACCCCAACAAAGCACUAGUAGAAUUGCACGAACUUUGGUAGACGAAUAUAUUGACCAUCCUAUUGUGGCGAACAAUGUUGACGAGCAAAUACAACGUGUCCAAGAAAUCACCAUGCAGGACCAAGCUACUGCUUUUACUAGGAGCAGAGGAGAGCCUUCUACAUCUACUCCUUGUGGUGGGUAUGAUUCCCAACAAAGGGCACAUGACAUUGGUGCAACUGGUGCCAAUGGUGCGGAGGCUGCACGGCCUUCAACUGUUGAUGAUAAUACUGGUCAGAUGGAACAUCCAGUCAUUCUAAGUGGUGAAAAUGAAAAACCUUUCAUAUACAUUUUCAACUUGAUGGCACAUUGGACCAUAGAAAAGGAUACAAGACCCUACAUUCAAGGAAAAAUUAAGGUUCGUUUACUACUUAGUACCUUUUAUUUGCAGAUUUAG
rnacentral:rRNA from 1 species